AUUUGCUCAUCAGCUGACAGUGACAAAUAACGUAAGUACAGGUGAAUUUUUCCUCGUCAAUCUAUCUGAAUAUCUUAGUCUGUUGUUCUAAUUAAUGCAAUGUUUCUUUUAGAUAAGUGAUAUGAACAGCAUUUCAAAUAAUCGAAAACAUUCUGCAGUUUUCAUCGAGGAAAUUCGAAUUUGUGUAUCGGCAAAUUAGUAAUUCUGUGAAAUUAUGAACAUAAACAAAUAAUGUUUCGUAUCAUCCGUUAAGAAUCAAGUAGUUUACAUUAUACUUUCAUAAGAAUUUACGUAUAUUCAAGUGCAAAUUAUAGGACUUUUGGGGUGUAAAAACGGAGGGGUGGGCUUUGUCCUGCUAAUUAUCGAUAUGCCGAUAGACUGUGCAUUAUAUUUUUACAAUAUUUCAAUAUUGAUCUUUUAUUUACUUUUCUUCUCUUAGUACUAGGUUGCAGUGACUAUGUUGUACUGAACAAUCAACAAAACUCCAGAUCCAUGGCGCAUUCAAUAUUUGAAAGUUGGUUAUAGAUCUACAGUAUCUCAGAUUGACACAUGCUGACUGGAGUCUUUGGCUAUGGGACCCAUUUUGCAGUAAUUAAGAAUGUGCAGGAGAAAGUGGUACACUUCAUUUCAGUCGCAUCUUUCGACAAGCGGAAAUCCAUGGUCUACCUGGAAUAAGUUUAUUUGGCAUAGACAACCUUUCUCCAAGGUCAAGGUCAAAGAUCAAAGGCCAGAACUGAUGUCAGCUGGAAAGACACCACAAUGGGUUAAAGAUCAAAGGCCAGAACUGAUGUCAACUGGAAAAAUACCACAUUGUGUAUUGGAUUUGCAAGAUAUUUAAUCAAUGCACCACUUUCAAGUUCAAAGUAUUAUCAAGGCCUACUCCAUGAAAUGCUGAAUAUUUCAUCAACCUUCAGUUAUACCAAUAUACAUACAGCUGAAUCCAGAAGAGGACAGUCUUAGUGGGUCAUACAGAAAAGGACUCAACAGGAAUAGUUUUUGAAUUUCAAGUUUAGAGUAAAUGAAGCCUUUACCAGUUGCAGAAGCUUAGACUAUCCUUUGAGAGUGUGUUUGGCCUACAGAGAUAUUGACAAUUGAUAUAAAAAAAAGAAACCUUUAUUGAUUUUUCCCAAAAAUUCAGCUCAGAUGAGCUGUUAAGCUCUAGAGAAUUUUUAGCUCACCUGAGUUGAAAAGUCCUAAGACCAUAAACUGAGAGCAAACUUAAAAUUCAAAAGGGAUAUAAUUAGCUAUACUUGUCAGAGACCAUAAGAGAUUAUGCGAUAUUAAGGCAUUCGUCGUCCAUCUGUCGAGCUGUCUGUCUGCCUAGCUGUCUGUCUGUCUGUCUGUAAACAAUUUUUCAAAAUGCUACUCCUCCUACAGUUUUAAUAUGAUUUCAAUAUAACUUGGCACACAGGUAGACUAUAUAAAGAUACAUAGUUUAGUGCAUCAGUUUUUUUUAUUUCGAUGAACAGUGUUGCCAUGGUUACUAAAAUAAAAAAUUCUGUGAAAUUUUCUUCAAAAUGCUACUCUUCCUACAAUUUUGGUCUGAUUUCAGUAUAACUUAGCACUUAAGUAGACUACACUAAGGUACAUAAUUUAGUGCAUCAAUUUUUGAUUUCGAUGAACAGUGUUGCCAUGGUUACUAAAAAUCAAAAUUUGUGUGAAAUUCCUUAAAACGAAAUCCUUCAAUUUUGGUUUGAUUUCAAUAUAAUUUGGCACACAAUAUGCACUAUUACACUACACAAAGAUACAUAAUUCUAUUUAUUUUUGCCUGUUGAAAAGUCAAAUCCAAGUGCCACUUUUCCUUUUAUACACAUACAGACCAGUAGAGCUACAGUCUCAUCAGAGACUUCUGGAUUUUGAAAAAAAUUGAUAACAAAGCAGAAUUUUUACCAUAUGUAUACAAACAUGCACAGUUUUUAAAAUGAAUAUGUCAUAAAUAAAAAGUUAUUCAAAAUUGAAAUUUUGGCUUGUCUGUACUGGUCUCCAGGCAUGAAGUGAGCUUUUCUGAUCAACUGUUGUUCGUUCAUCUCUCCAUUCCUCUGUAUGUAAACUUUUCACAUUUUCAACUUCAUCUCAACAGAACCAGUGGGCUAAUUUUAACCAAACGUAUACAAAACAUCCUUGUGUAAAAUGAAGUUAAAGAUUUGUUAAACUGAAGGGCCAAGUACCCUUAUAAGUUAUAGGGAGAAAUUGUCAAAAAAAAAAAAAAACAAACAAACAAACAAAAAUUGGGUGGGAUCAUAAAAAAAAACCUUUUCAAGAACCACUAAGCCAGAAAAGCUGAAACUUGUUUGAAAGUACUCUUGUGAAAUAAUGAAUUUUGGGAAAAGUGCAGGGCCACUAUGGGUAUACUCUGGUGUGGAAAUCUGGUAAAGAACAGCAUGGCCAAAGUACACAGAUGAGUGAUGUGGCCUUGGGCCUCUUGUUCUGAUUGAUAUCCAUUGUUAGUCUGUUUCACUAUUUAGAACCACUGUUUGAUAUAAAACGCUGUUAAUUUUAGCGAUGUUGAGCUUUAGUGAUCUCAGCAUCCCUGACGAUAAUUCCACAACUAAAUACCCGAUACAGAUUUUGCUUAUACGGUAUAACAUAUAUGUAUGAAUAAAUUCUGAAUUCUUCAUAUCAUGGAAACCAGGUGUAGCAUGUCCAUAGAAGGGGAUAAAACUUUUACAUGGGAAGGCGGAGAAUUUUUUUUAAGAUCAAAGGGGCCAGUAUUUAAAGUCUUUUUGAAAAAAAAAAACAGAUUUUCAUCGAAAUAUGCGCCCAGAGGAUGAUGAGGCUAAAAAAAAAUAAGUCAGUUUUCAGAGGAUUAAUUCUUCAAGCAUCCCAAGGGUAGAGCAAAUACAGUAAAACUCGUUUAGUAUGAACACGGAUAUUGCAAAUUCACUGAUAUAGCGAAGUCAUCUUGGAUCCCCAGCUGUAUACAUUUCCUGAGUGUCAUAUACAGUUAUAACGAAUUAAGGAUAUAGCGAAGUAGUUUCAUAAUUCCCAGUGACUUCGUUAUAACUGAGUUUUGCUGUAUCUAUGAGGACACAUUUGGUAAUGAAGUAAUAUCAAAUUUUCGUACAAGAAUGAAAAAAAGAUACCAAUAAUACCCCAGUAUAUAUAUAUUUUUUCUGAAGAAACUCAUGUGAGCUUUGUGGCCCAUGACAUGUGCCUUUUCAGGGUUUUUUUUAAAUGUAAAUGUGAAAUGUAUAUCAAAUCAUUUUGUUUUCUUGGCAUAAAUAAUGUAAAUUAAAAAAUAUUUUACCAGUAUUUUUCUCUCAUUAUUUUUGUUUAGCUCUUUUGAGCUAAGUCUGUGGCCAUUUGUGCAGUGUGCAUAAACUUCUGAAAUAAGGGCCAUAUCUCAAGGAACACUAUAUUGUCAAAUUUGGCACAACAUGCACAGAUCUAAAGGGGUCUCUGGAAAUAUAUACUAAACCAAGUAAAAGUGAACUUUGACCCCCACCCCCUAGAAAUCACGAAUCACUACUCGAAAACAGAUCUACGAGAAAUUGGAAUACUAAUCACUGAUAUGAAGUUAUAAAAGUCAAAUAUGAAUGCCCUGUCAUAUUUCAUUCAAAAGUAAUCAUCAAGGUUGAUAAUUUGAAAAUAAGGUCAAUCUUGAAGGUCAUGUUGUCAGAAAUCAUAGCAUGUUCAAAAAUACAUUGUCACAAGUAGUGCCCAUGUCAAAUAUGAAAUCCCUAUCUCCUGUCGAUCAAACGAUAAGGAGAAGUAGGUCAAGGUCACAAGAUCAAAAAUCAUAUUGUAUUUAGAAAGUUUGUGAAAAGUAGGUCAAACUUCAAGGUCACAAAUCAUAAUGUAUUUAGAAAGGUUUUGUCACAGGUAAUAGACUGACAAACCAAUGAGAUUUAAUGUUCCUUCGCUUUUGCGAAAGCAGUGGACAAUACAAUAAAAGAACAAUAUAAAAAAACAGUUUUGAUAUCCCUUUUAACAAUCAUAUGAUGGGUGUAUAUUUUGUUUAAUGUUCCUUUUGAGAACUUUUCACUUAUAUGGAGAUGCCACCAGUUGCCAGUGGAGAGCUGCAAAUUUUGUACUAUACUGGGCACACAGGGCCAUUGAGCAAGGAGGGAUCUUUUUCAUGCCAGCACCUACUGCGACACGGGACCUCAGUUAAUGCAUAAGGUCUCUUCCUAAGGAAUGGCACAGCAUAUGAAAACUAACUAUUAAUGCAAUAAGAAAUUUUGUAUUUGACUGGUACAUGAAGGUGACAAAAGAAUUUUUGAAAAGAUUGAAUAAACUGAGUUAAAUGAACAAUAAAUUACAUGUAACUUCAAAGGACACUUGAAAGGUCAAGGUAA